UAUUAAAAAUUUCAUCAUUGUUACUGUUAAAAAACUGGCAUUGCUAACUGAAUAACUAAAUAGUUAUACAUGACGUCCAUGUUUGCCUCAUUCUGACUUUUAUGGACCAAAUUUUAAUAGUAAAAAUAGAUAAAAUUUUUAAUA
rfam:Gossypium raimondii Chr02_contig_135, whole genome shotgun sequence.